AAGAAAGUUGCUUACAGAAGGUUCAGGGAUUCCUAUUUAACUCCCCCAUGGUUCCUCCUUCAUAGAAUUCUUCCCUCCUAGAGUUCUUUCCUGGAACUCUCUUGCUUAUGAAGCUGGCCAUUCUUGGAACUCUCAAGGCCAGCACAUGAUGUGGCAGGAGUCUCCCUACAUUGUUUCCCAUCCCAAAAACCCUGGGCAACCUCUGUAUAACAGCAAUAGAACCCAGGCAUCCAUAAGGGAAAAUAAAGCACUGUGUGAAGAGGAAGAGUUGGAGUUGGAUUCAGAUGAUGGAGUGGAGUGUGACCUGAGCAAUAUGGAAAUCACUGAGGGAGCCCACCAGUACUUUGCAGAGAUCAAGAGGCACAGAGAAGAGAGAAGGCUACAGCAAUAGCUGGACAAGGAGUGCCUGAAUGACGAUGUGAGAUGUGAAUGAGGACCAUAGCCUGUACUUAAACAACCACAGGUCAGUGGAGCCUCCAUCUAAGAAGUUCUGGGAGCAGCGCCAAGCAGUGAUGAAGCGCAUGUAUGGGAACAGUGCUCCCCAGAUCCUGGCUAUGGAUGCUGCUGUGCAGCUGAGCUUUGACAAACACUGUGACAGAAAACAGAAGUACUGGCCUGUCACUCCCCUGAAGUUC